AUGACAGAACUAGAUGCAGGUGUUGGCUGGAGCCGGAGUGACAGGGGUCCCUCCGGGCCGGAGGUGGCAGUAGUGGCAGUGGUGGCAGUGGUGGCAGUGGCCGCGACAUCGCCGCGAAAGCGAGACGGCGAUGGCCGCCCAGAAACAAGUGGCCGAGCCUCGAACUGCGGCCUGGGGAAAAAGAAGCCUGACAGCCCCGCCGUGACCCGGUGCCCUUGGCCCAUUCCGGGCCCUGUAGCGCCGGACUCCGCCUGCUGUCGCCCCCGCUUAGCGGCGCGGCGUCGGGGCUCAGCAGCGAGCAGCAGCCGCUCCAAGGCCCAAUUCAUUGUCAGAGGAAAACACAAACUGGUGCGGAAGAUCGGGUCUGGCUCUUUCGGGGACAUUUUCCUGGCGAUUAACAUCACCAACGGCGAGGAAGUGGCAGUGAAGCUAGAAUCUCAGAAGGCCAGGCAUCCCCAGUUGCUGUACGAGAGCAAACUCUGUAAGAUCCUUCAAGGUGGGGUUGGCAUCCCCACAUACUGUGGUACGGUCCGGAAAAAGACUAUAACGUGCUAGUCAUGGGUCUUCUGGGACCCAGCCUUGAAGAUCUCUUCCACUUCUGUUCAAGAAGGUUCGCAAUGAAAACUGUGCUUAUGCCAGCUGACCAGAUAGACGAUCAGUAGAAUUGAAUAUGUGCAUACGAAGAAUUUCAUACACAGAGACAUUAAGCCAGAUAACUUCCUAAUGGGUAUUGGGCGUCACUGUAAUGAGUUAUUCCUUAUUGAUUUUGGUUUGGCCAAAAAAGUACAGAGACAACAGGACAAGGCAACACAUACCAUACAGAGAAGAUAAAAACCUCACUGGCACUGCGCGGGACGCUAGCAUCAAUGCACACCUUGGUACUGAGCAGAGUCGCAGAGACGACAUGGAAUCAUUAGGGUAUGUUUUGAUGUAUUUUAAUAGAACCAGCCUGCCAUGGCAAGGACUAAAGGCUGCAACGAAGAGACAAAAAUAUGAAAAGAUUAGUGAAAAGAAGAUGUCCGCUCCUAUUGAAGUUUUAUGUAAAGGGUUUCCUGCAGAUUUGGCCAUGUACUUAAGCUAUUGUGGGCUACGCUGUGAGGAAGCCCCGGAUUACAUGUAUCUGAGGCAGCUAUUCCGCAUCCUUUUCAGGACCCUGAACCACCAAUAUGACUACACAUUUGAUUGGACGAUGUUAAAGCAGAAAGCAGUACAACAGGCAGCCUCUUCCACUGGGCAGGGUCAACAGGCCCAAACCCCCACAGGUUUCUAAGCAUGAAUUGAGGAACAGAAGAAGCAGAGCAGAUGAUCGGAGCAGCAUUUGUUUCUCCCCAAGUCUAGAAAUUUUAGUUCAUAUGUACACUAGCCAGUGGUUGUGGACAACCAUUUACUUGGUGUGAAGAACUUGAUUUCAGUAUAAACUGGCUCUGGACAGCAUUGGUGAUGCUGUAUCCUGAGUUGUAGCCGCUGUAAUUGUGAAUAUUAACUGAGAUAGUGAAACAUGGUGUCCUGUUUUCUAUUGCAUUUUUUUCAAGUGGAAAAGUUAACUAAAUGGUUGACACACGCAAAUUGGUGGAGAAAUUGUGCAUAUGCCAAUCUUUUGUUAAAGCCUUUUAUUUUGAACUAUACUGCUUUUGAGAUCUCAUUUCAGAAGAACGGCAUGAACAGUCUUCAGCCUCAGUUGUGAUGGUUGUAAAUGCUCACAAUUUUGCAUCCUUAGGGUUUUUCCAUCCCUAGGGUUUGCAAGUUGUUCACUUAAAACAUUCUUUAAAUGGCUGGCUUCUUGUUUGCAAGCCAGCUGAUAUGGUAGCAACCAAAGAUUCCAGUGUUUGAGCAUAUGAAAGACUCUGCCUGCUUACCUGUGCUAGAAAUAACAGCAUCUAAAGUGAAGACUUAAGAAAAACUUAGUGACUACUAGAUUAUUCUUAGGACUCUGCAUUAACUCUAUAAUGUUCUUGGUAUUAAAAAAAAAUAUU